CGUGGGUAACCUGCCCAAGAGAUCGGGAUAACACCUGGAAACAGAUGCUAAUACCGGAUAACAACAGAUGAUGCCUAUCAACUGUUUAAAAGAUGGUUCCGCUAUCACUCUUGGAUGGACCUGCGGUGCAUUAGCUAGUUGGUAGGGUAACGGCCUACCAAGGCGAUGAUGCAUAGCCGAGUUGAGAGACUGAUCGGCCACAUUGGGACUGAGACACGGCCCAAACUCCUACGGGAGGCAGCAGAC
rnacentral:rRNA from 1 species